rnacentral:rRNA from 1 species
AGAGUUUGAUCCUGGCUCAGGAUGAACGCUAGCGACAGGCCUAACACAUGCAAGUCGAGGGGCAGCGGAGAGGUAGCAAUACCUUUGCCGGCGACCGGCGCACGGGUGAGUAACACGUAUGCAAUCCACCUGUAACAGGGGGAUAACCCGGAGAAAUCCGGACUAAUACCCCAUAAUAUGGGCGCUCCGCAUGGAGAGCCCAUUAAAGAGAGCAAUUUUGGUUACAGACGAGCAUGCGCUCCAUUAGCCAGUUGGCGGGGUAACGGCCCACCAAGGCGACGAUGGAUAGGGGUUCUGAGAGGAAGGUCCCCCACAUUGGAACUGAGACACGGUCCAAACUCCUACGGGAGGCAGCAGUGAGGAAUAUUGGUCAAUGGUCGGCAGACUGAACCAGCCAAGUCGCGUGAGGGAAGACGGCCCUACGGGUUGUAAACCUCUUUUGUCGGAGAGUAAAGUACGCUACGCGUAGCGUAUUGCAAGUAUCCGAAGAAAAAGCAUCGGCUAACUCCGUGCCAGCAGCCGCGGUAAUACGGAGGAUGCGAGCGUUAUCCGGAUUUAUUGGGUUUAAAGGGUGCGUAGGCGGCACGCCAAGUCAGCGGUGAAAUUUCCGGGCUCAACCCGGAGUGUGCCGUUGAAACUGGCGAGCUAGAGUGCACAAGAGGCAGGCGGAAUGCGUGGUGUAGCGGUGAAAUGCAUAGAUAUCACGCAGAACCCCGAUUGCGAAGGCAGCCUGCUAGGGUGCGACAGACGCUGAGGCACGAAAGCGUGGGUAUCGAACAGGAUUAGAUACCCUGGUAGUCCACGCAGUAAACGAUGAAUACUAACUGUUUGCGAUACAAUGUAAGCGGUACAGCGAAAGCGUUAAGUAUUCCACCUGGGGAGUACGCCGGCAACGGUGAAACUCAAAGGAAUUGACGGGGGCCCGCACAAGCGGAGGAACAUGUGGUUUAA